GCCUGGGUGGCUCAGUAGGUUAAGCGGCCGACUUGGGCUCAGGUCAUGAUCUCACAGUUCAUGGGUUCGAGUCCCAUGUCGGGCU
rnacentral:tRNA from 1 species